rnacentral:pre_miRNA from 1 species
UGGUGGCACCAACCGGGACUAAAGGGGUGCUUUGGUACCGGUUCGUGGCACCAACCGGGACCAAUGCCCCCCUUUAGUCCCGGUUGGUGCCACCAA